rnacentral:rRNA from 1 species
CAUCGGAUGUGCCCAGAUGGGAUUAGCUUGUUGGUGGGGUAACGGCUCACCAAGGCGACGAUCCCUAGCUGGUCUGAGAGGAUGACCAGCCACACUGGAACUGAGACACGGUCCAGACUCCUACGGGAGGCAGCAGUGGGGAAUAUUGCACAAUGGGCGCAAGCCUGAUGCAGCCAUGCCGCGUGUAUGAAGAAGGCCUUCGGGUUGUAAAGUACUUUCAGCGGGGAGGAAGGGAGUAAAGUUAAUACCUUUGCUCAUUGACGUUACCCGCAGAAGAAGCACCGGCUAACUCCGUGCCAGCAGCCGCGGUAAUACGGAGGGUGCAAGCGUUAAUCGGAAUUACUGGGCGUAAAGCGCACGCAGGCGGUUUGUUAAGUCAGAUGUGAAAUCCCCGGGCUCAACCUGGGAACUGCAUCUGAUACUGGCAAGCUUGAGUCUCGUAGAGGGGGGUAGAAUUCCAGGUGUAGCGGUGAAAUGCGUAGAGAUCUGGAGGAAUACCGGUGGCGAAGGCGGCCCCCUGGACGAAGACUGACGCUCAGGUGCGAAAGCGUGGGGAGCAAACAGGAUU